rnacentral:pre_miRNA from 1 species
AGAAAAAUUUCUGGGUCAUAUAGUAAGAGUAUAUUUAGUUUUGUAAGAAAUUGCCAAGUUAUUUUCCAAAGUGGCUAUACCACUUUGCAUUCCCACCAGAAAU